ACUCAAAUGAAUUGACGGGGGCCCGCACAAGCAGUGGAGCAUGUGGUUUAAUUCGAUGCUACGCGAAGAACCUUACCUGGGCUCGAAAUGUAGAGGACGACAUCAGAGAUGAUGUUUCUCGAAAGGGUCUCUAUAUAGGUGCUGCAUGGCUGUCGUCAGCUCGUGCCGUGAGGUGUUUGGUUAAGUCCAGCAACGAGCGCAACCCUUAUUGUUAGUUGCCAACGCGUCAAGGCGGGAACUCUAACAAGACUGCCUAGGUUAACUAGGAGGAAGGUGAGGAUGACGUCAAGUCCGCAUGGCCUUUAUGUCCAGGGCUACACACGUGCUACAAUGGUCGCCACAGAAGGCAGCAGAACCGCAAGGUGAAGCAAAUCCUAGUAAAGGCGAUCUCAGUUCAGAUUGCAGUCUGCAACUCGGCUGCAUGAAGUUGGAAUUGCUAGUAAUGGCGUGUCAGCAACAACGCCGUGAAUACGUUCCCGGGCCUUGUACACACCGCCCGU
rnacentral:rRNA from 1 species